rnacentral:rRNA from 1 species
AUUGAACGCUGGCGGCAUGCCUUACACAUGCAAGUCGAACGGCAGCAUGGGUGCUUGCACCUGAUGGCGAGUGGCGAACGGGAGAGUAAUGCAUCGGAACGUGCCCUGAAGUGGGGGAUAACGUCGCGCAAGUUACGCUAAUACCGCAUAUUCGGUGAGCAGGAAAGCAGGGGAUCGCAAGACCUUGUGCUUUUGGAGCGGACGAUGUCGGAUUAGCUAGUUGGUGGGGUAAAGGCUAACCAAGGCGACGAUCCGUAGCGGGUCUGAGAGGAGGAUCCGCCACACUGGGACUGAGACACGGUCCAGACUCCUACGGGAGGCAGCAGUGGGGAAUUUUGGACAAUGGGCGCAAGCCGGAUCCAGCCAUGCCGCGUGAGUGAAGAAGGCCUUCGGGUUGUAAAGCUCUUUCGGUGGGGAAGAAAUGGUUUCGGUUAAUACCCGGAAUUGAUGACGGUACCCGCAUAAGAAGCACCGGCUAACUACGUGCCAGCCGCCGCCGUAA